AUGAGGAGGGAGCAUUCAAAGAUGAAGGAGACAUGCAACAACCUUCUUUAUUCUUUUGCACAAGUUUUUUGGAGAGUUUGGAAACUGGGGACAGUGACGAAAUUUUAUGACUGUUUUGACAUUGUGCAUCUUCGGGACAACGUAUGCACAAACAGGAAGCCGGGGAGUGACCAGGAGAACAUAGGCUGUAGUUGUGGUGAGAGAACCUUGGAAAGUGUUAGUCUUUCACAGGGUAAGAAAUGUAAUUCCAUCCUAUCAUUCUAACAUUUCCAGAACAAGAUCUCGCCAGACAUCUGGAUUUCAGAAGAUGGGCUGGGGGAGGUUGGACUUGAUGACUGAAAGAGCUCUUCAAGAGUUAUAUUUUGUGACUUCAUUUUUUUUUGUGUCAGAUUGGAUCUAAAUGCAGAAUUACAUUUAGAAAAUUAUUUGGGGUCACAUUACAAUGAUUUUCUUAGUUCAGCUUUCCCCAUUUCUUGUAACCAUGACCAGAGAGUCAUCCUGGUAGCUGCUAUACACGUCUGUCAUUUUCAAAGAGCCAGGCUCAUUCACCUUUGGUUUGUAAGACUAAAUGCUUAGCUUUGGCUUCUGUAUUACUAUCUAUAAAGAGCCACUGGUGAUUAGUCGAAAAACACAAAGAUUUUGAGAGCAUAAGUCAUUGGUUAAAAUCAGGAAUAGCUGGAUCCAGACACAUUCAUCCUCCAAAGCAAUUAACUACAAAGCCACCUUUUGCAUGUGACCAGAGACUAAUUCAAUUAAGAUAGCUGUCUGCUAUUAUAAAUAAAAUACUAAAUAUCUCCCA
rnacentral:lncRNA from 1 species